rnacentral:rRNA from 1 species
UACGUAGGUGGCAAGCGUUGUCCGGAUUUAUUGGGUUUAAAGGGUGCGUAGGUGGUCUAUUAAGUCAGUGCUGAAAUAUCCCGGCUUAACCGGGAGGGUGGCAUUGAUACUGAUGGACUUGAGUGGAGUUGAGGUAGGCGGAAUUGACGGUGUAGCGGUGAAAUGCGUAGAUAUCGGGAGGAACACCUGUGGCGAAAGCGGCGCACUGGACCACAACUGACGCUGAGGCGCGAAAGCUAGGGGAGCAAACAGG